rnacentral:rRNA from 1 species
AGCAGCCGCGGUAAUUCCAGCUCCAAUAGCGUAUAUUAAAGUUGUUGCAGUUAAAAAGCUCGUAGUUGAAUUUCGGGGUUAGUAGGUCGGUCGUGCCACAGGUAUGUACUGGUCUCACUGAUUCCUCCUUCCUGAUGAACCGUAAUGCCAUUAAUUUGGUGUUGCGGGGAAACUGGACUGUUACUUUGAAAAAUUAGAGUGUUUAAAGCAGGCUAACGCUUGAAUACAUUAGCAUGGAAUAAUGAAAUAGGACGUUCGAUCCUAUUUUGUUGGUUUCUAGGAUUGACGUAAUGAUUAAUAGGGAUAGUUGGGGGCAUUAGUAUUCAAUUGUCAGAGGUGAAAUUCUUGGAUUUAUUGAAGACUAACUACUGCGAAAGCAUUUGCCAAGGAUGUUUUCAUUAAUCAAGAACGAAAGUUAGGGGAUCGAAGACGAUCAGAUACCGUCGUAGUCUUAACCAUAAACUAUGCCGACUAGGGAUCGGAUGAUGUUAAUUUUUAAUGACUCAUUCGGCGCCUUACG